rnacentral:rRNA from 1 species
UCCUACGGGAGGCAGCAGUGGGGAAUCUUGGACAAUGGGGGCAACCCUGAUCCAGCGAUGCCGCGUGGGUGAAGAAGGCCUUCGGGUUGUAAAGCCCUUUAGGCUGGGAAGAAGAAUAUGGGAUGAAUAAUCCUGUAUUUUGACGGUACCAGCAGAAUAAGCACCGGCAAACUCUGUGCCAGCAGCCGCGGUAAUACAGAGGGUGCAAGCGUUAAUCGGAUUUACUGGGCGUAAAGGGCGCGUAGGCGGUUGUGUGAGUGUGAUGUGAAAGCCCCGGGCUUAACCUGGGAAGUGCAUCGCAAACGACAUAACUGGAGUAGGUGAGAGGGUGGCGGAAUUUCCGGUGUAGCGGUGAAAUGCGUAGAGAUCGGAAGGAACGUCAAUGGCGAAGGCAGCCACCUGGCACCAUACUGACGCUGAGGCGCGAAAGCGUGGGGAGCGAACAGGAUUAGAUACCCCUGUAGUC